AAAGGACUGGGGCCCCGCAACUGGCCUCUCCUGCCCUCUUAAGCGCAGCGCCAUUUUAGCAACGCAGAAGCCCGGCGCCGGGAAGCCUCAGCUCGCCUGAAGGCAGGUCCCCUCUGACGCCUCCGGGAGCCCAGGUUUCCCAGAGUCCUUGGGACGCAGCGACGAGUUGUGCUGCUAUCUUAGCUGUCCUUAUAGGCUGGCCAUUCCAGGUGGUGGUAUUUAGAUAAAACCACUCAAACUCUGCAGUUUGGUCUUGGGGUUUGGAGGAAAGCUUUUAUUUUUCUUCCUGCUCCGGUUCAGAAGGUCUGAAGCUCAUACCUAACCAGGCAUAACACAGAAUCUGCAAAACAAAAACCCCUAAAAAAGCAGACCCAGAGCAGUGUAAACACUUCUGGGUGUGUCCCUGACUGGCUGCCCAAGGUCUCUGUGUCUUCGGAGACAAAGCCAUUCGCUUAGUUGGUCUACUUUAAAAGGCCACUUGAACUCGCUUUCCAUGGCGAUUUGCCUUGUGAGCACUUUCAGGAGAGCCUGGAAGCUGAAAAACGGUAGAAAAAUUUCCGUGCGGGCCGUGGGGGGCUGGCGGCAACUGGGGGGCCGCAGAUCAGAGUGGGCCACUGGCAGCCAACGGCCCCCGGGGCUCAGGCGGGGAGCAGCUCUGUGGUGUGGGAUUGAGGCGUUUUCCAAGAGUGGGUUUUCACGUUUCUAAGAUUUCCCAAGCAGACAGCCCGUGCUGCUCCGAUUUCUCGAACAAAAAAGCAAAACGUGUGGCUGUCUUGGGAGCAAGUCGCAGGACUGCAAGCAGUUGGGGGAGAAAGUCCGCCAUUUUGCCACUUCUCAACCGUCCCUGCAAGGCUGGGGCUCAGUUGCGUAAUGGAAAGUAAAGCCCUGAACUAUCACACUUUAAUCUUCCUUCAAAAGGUGGUAAACUAUACCUACUGUCCCUCAAGAGAACACAAGAAGUGCUUUAAGAGGUAUUUUAAAAGUUCCGGGGGUUUUGUGAGGUGUUUGAUGACCCGUUUAAAAUAUGAUUUCCAUGUUUCUUUUGUCUAAAGUUUGCAGCUCAAAUCUUUCCACACGCUAGUAAUUUAAGUAUUUCUGCAUGUGUAGUUUGCAUUCAAGUUCCAUAAGCUGUUAAGAAAAAUCUAGAAAAGUAAAACUAGAACCUAUUUUUAACCGAAGAACUACUUUUUGCCUCCCUCACAAAGGCGGCGGAAGGUGAUCGAAUUCCGGUGAUGCGAGUUGUUCUCCGUCUAUAAAUACGCCUCGCCCGAGCUGUGCGGUAGGCAUUGAGGCAGCCAGCGCAGGGGCUUCUGCUGAGGGGGCAGGCGGAGCUUGAGGAAACCGCAGAUAAGUUUUUUUCUCUUUGAAAGAUAGAGAUUAAUACAACUACUUAAAAAAUAUAGUCAAUAGGUUACUAAGAUAUUGCUUAGCGUUAAGUUUUUAACGUAAUUUUAAUAGCUUAAGAUUUUAAGAGAAAAUAUGAAGACUUAGAAGAGUAGCAUGAGGAAGGAAAAGAUAAAAGGUUUCUAAAACAUGACGGAGGUUGAGAUGAAGCUUCUUCAUGGAGUAAAAAAUGUAUUUAAAAGAAAAUUGAGAGAAAGGACUACAGAGCCCCGAAUUAAUACCAAUAGAAGGGCAAUGCUUUUAGAUUAAAAUGAAGGUGACUUAAACAGCUUAAAGUUUAGUUUAAAAGUUGUAGGUGAUUAAAAUAAUUUGAAGGCGAUCUUUUAAAAAGAGAUUAAACCGAAGGUGAUUAAAAGACCUUGAAAUCCAUGACGCAGGGAGAAUUGCGUCAUUUAAAGCCUAGUUAACGCAUUUACUAAACGCAGACGAAAAUGGAAAGAUUAAUUGGGAGUGGUAGGAUGAAACAAUUUGGAGAAGAUAGAAGUUUGAAGUGGAAAACUGGAAGACAGAAGUACGGGAAGGCGAAGAAAAGAAUAGAGAAGAUAGGGAAAUUAGAAGAUAAAAACAUACUUUUAGAAGAAAAAAGAUAAAUUUAAACCUGAAAAGUAGGAAGCAGAAGAAAAAAGACAAGCUAGGAAACAAAAAGCUAAGGGCAAAAUGUACAAACUUAGAAGAAAAUUGGAAGAUAGAAACAAGAUAGAAAAUGAAAAUAUUGUCAAGAGUUUCAGAUAGAAAAUGAAAAACAAGCUAAGACAAGUAUUGGAGAAGUAUAGAAGAUAGAAAAAUAUAAAGCCAAAAAUUGGAUAAAAUAGCACUGAAAAAA
rnacentral:lncRNA from 10 species